rnacentral:lncRNA from 1 species
UGCGCUUAGCACCUAUGUCAUAUCUGGGUGCCAGACAAAGUCCAUUUUGUUCUCAGGCUUUUAAUGCUAUUUGAAUUGGUCUUUUUUAAGAUAUCUGAUUUUUUCUUUUUUACUGGCUCCAUUUUUAUGAUUUAUACACGUCUGAUUGUAUGUAGUUUUUUUAUUCAGGUUUUUGUUUUGUUUUAUUCAGUUUAGUUCAUAUGUAUUGCUUACAACCAUAGGUCAUUACAAUAUGAAGGAGGGGGAGAUAGACAGGCUAUGAGAAAUAAAUGUGGUAUGAAAUACAACAAAACCUAAUAAUUAAAAUAUGGUUGCCAAUCCAAUGAAUAAAAUAUUACUACGGGUUGUCUCUAAUGUUGGUUCUACUCAAAGCAGACCUGUUAAAAUUAAAAGAUCUAUGUUAGUCAUAUUAAUUACUUUUAUUGUGUCUUCUCUGAGUAGAACUAACAUUCAAGACAACCUUAAAUUUUAAUCAGUUAUGUAUCUAGAUAUAAAGUCCCACCGUACCACUUUUAGUAAGAAAACUAUUAGCCACAAUAAAGCUGACAAAAAUACAAUUAACAUGAUUGAAAUAAUUAAGGUUCUCCAGUAGUAGCUCAUUUUGUUCAUUAAUUAAAAAAUAAUAAUUUAUAUGUUUUGAUAUAUUAUUCAAUUGUGAGCUGUCUUGAAAGAAAAGAUGGCACUGGUUUUUUGCCAUUUACAGUAUUUAGCUCUCGGAGGAAAUGGGGAUAAUGGAAAGGAAAUGGGGUGGAGAGAGGCAGAAAAAUCUGCAGAACUCUACUGCCCUCAUUUCCACUCAACAGGUAAUUGGAAAAGCUGGAUUAAUAGCCUCUGUAUCCCCCUCCCGCCCCAAGUUUUAGGACUGCAGCCGUAAAUACAAUAAGAGCACAAUAUCCAUAGACACCAUACAUAACAAUUACAAUAUUGAUACAUUAUAACAUAUAGGCAGUUCGACAAUUACUAGUACAUCUAAGCAUAUAAAACAGGUCAAUUAACAAUAUCCAACAGUGAUAAUAUCACUGUUAUAUCGACAUUAAGCAAUUUACUGUGUAGUUCAUAUACUUCAGUAGUUCUCCAUGACUCUGUAGGUCAGGCACGUCCAACUCCCAAGAGACUGCGAUCUACUCACAGUAUAAAAAGACUGGCUGUGAUCUACCCAUUGUCAUUGCCAGGGGUUGUUGAGCUUUUUUUAGGGGAGAUUUGACAAAAGGAACACUAAGGCAAUCACUAACUUGAUACCACGAUCGACCUGUUGGACAUGCCUGCUAUAUAACAUAUAACCCCACUGCAAAAACUUCAGGUACACAAGAUUCUCAGGUUCAUCUCCCAUCAUGCAAAUACCUCUGUAUUAUAGGUCUCCCAUUUUGGUCUCAUGCAAUAAUGAGAAAGUACAACUCCCAUCAGCCCCAGCCAGCACACCCAGCUAUGUUCCCACCAUUGCAAAAAAAAAUUCUAAAGGUUAUUUGCUUGCUAAAACAAUUAUUCAUAUGAUUAACAGAAACAACAACCACCCUAAAUUGGCAACAUCCCUUUAGCAUGCCGAAGAGCUGAUAAACCAUGCUAUGACCCAGCCAUAAAUUAUAUCACACAACAAGGGGAAAAUGUCUGAAUGAUUUUUCCUGUAAUAGGCCAUUAAGAACAUUGUACGACUAAUUAAUCUAUUAAUUAGACACCUUAUCAUCCUUCCACAUGAUAGCAUGUUGCCAAAUAAAAAACUGCCUCUGGGCCAAAAAGAGACUAGGAAAGUAAAGAAGAUACAAAGAAAAGGAAAUGUUGGAAUUUUAAAAGAGAAAUGCAAGGAAAGGAAAUGGGUGGGGGAGGGAGAAGUGAAGUAAUACUCUCAAUUUUAUGAUCCUUGUAAACAAAUAAAGUAUUUAUUUAUUAACUUUAUCCAUAUGCUGCCUUAAAAACAGAACUAACUGCAGCAUGGAGAGCAUUGAUCAGGAAGUCAGAAUAAAGCUAGCAUCUCCUACGUUUCUUCCCAGUUCUCUCUUAUGAGCAGCCUAAUCUCCACAACAGAAGGAUAGUUUUUCUGUUUAUAGAACCUAGGAAACUUAUGCCAGAGCAUUUGUCCUGCAUUAUCUGGUCUUAUUCUCUCCAGGGUCCCAGGCAAGAAAUUUUACAAAUACCUACUCCUGAUCCUUUUUAACUGGAGAUGCCAGAGACUGAAACUGACACGUUCUGCAUGCAAAGCAUGUGCUCUAUUGUCUCUCCUCAAUGUGGCUGCUGCUUUCCAAAGCUCCUCUAAUCCCAAGUGUCUGAUGCAAGUCCAAUUCCCAGCUUCUCUGCUCAUCUCAAUAACAGAGGGUUGAAAGACUGGAAAUAAGGUAUCUGAAGAAGUGUGCAUGCACACAAAAGCUCAUACCAAUAACUAACUUAGUUGGUCUCUAAGGUGCUACUGGAAGGAAUUUUUUUAUUUUGUUUGGAAAUAAGAUGCUAGUUCUCAAUACUUAAGGUUGCUUCCAGGUGGUGUUUUUAGAUUAUCGUUACAGUGCUAUAACACUUUCCAUUAUCCAAUAUUUUGCUAUUACUUUAAUAAAAAUGCACACUGUGAUGCAAUUAAUAAUCAUACCCAUGUUGGGGGAAAGAUUCCUGCAUUGCAUGGGGUUGGACUAAGUGACCCUCAUUGUCCCUUCCAACUCUACAUUCUAUGAUCUAGGGAAAUACCUUCCCUUUGACAUUCUCUUUCUGCAAACUUUCUCCUUUCCAUAUCUCUUAGGCCUGAGGGCCAAAUGUGACCUCCAGGUCUAGCCGACUCAAGGGACCAGCCCAGGAUGCCGCUCCCCCAAGGCCACUUCCCACAGGCAACACCCCUCCUUGGCCCUGCGCCACAUAGCCCUCCAGUUCUUUUGCCUGGUUGCAAUGUGUCUUUGAACUGUAACAAUGCCUGUUGCUUGCCAGGCUGGAGAGAUGCACAUGUGGAAACCGCUGGCAUUUGCGUGGUUGGGCUGUGGCUUACAAUAUAAAUACUGUAUAAAAGGGACAUCUGUUGGCCCACUUAACACUGGCAUGCAGCUCCUAUGAAGGAACGCAGUCCUUAGGUUGUUUAAAGAAGAUAGCAAAAGGGGAUUCAGUUAUACUAUCUCAAAAUUCCAAAAGUAAAUUGUGGUGGGAAACACCAAAUUACUGAAGAAAGCAUAUAACAUUUUGUUAUAUGGAGAGACUUUAGAUGAGAUGGUAAAAUCGGCACAAAUAAAAUGGGCUCAGGAUGUUUGGCAUAAUAUACAGUUGGAGGAAUGGGAAAGAUUAUGGAAAACAAAUUUAAAGUUUACAGAUUGUAUAUUAUUAAGAGAAAUGUAAUUGAAAAUGAUAUAUAGAUGGUAUAUCACACCAGAAAAAAUUGCAAAAAUAUAUAAAACAGGAUCUUAAGAUAUGUUGGAGAUGCAAAGAGAAAGAUGGUACUUUUUUCAUGUAUGGUGGAAAUGCAAGAAUGUUAAAGAAUAUUGAGAAAUGAUAUAU